GGGGUCUUAAGAUGGCUGCCGGGUGGCUGGCUCCGGACGCGUGAGUAGAGCUGCUUGUGGGGCUGACUCCCGGGCUGCUCGGGCUCCGGCGUGAGGGGUGGAGGAGCCCCCGGUUCGGGGAGUGAGGGGGCCAGUGGAGGAGCCUCACAGCCUUUCGCCCGGGCCGCCCCGGCCCUGGCCCGCGGGAGCGUCGGCCGCCCUGGCCUCCGAAGUGCCGGAAGGGGCGUCGCAGCGCCUUCCCCAGCCUGUGGUUGGAGAGGGUUCUCCAUCCCUGCCCGGCCCGGCCCAGGGACUGUUGUAUAGAUCUGGCUAGAAUGUGCACUAAAAAAACUUAAGUUUCCAGUUUCCCGGUAUGCCACAUCUCCUGGGAACGGCUGAGUAAUUGUCACAUUGAAAAGAAGAAAAGAUGUGGAGUGGGCUGCUACCUCCUGGCCUAAAUGAAAGUGAUGUUGAGUUGAAUUCUGAAGAUGAAGACACAAUAGAGAACUCUGGACCUGACUUACAGGAAGAUGAAGAAGAUGGGACCGUUACAGAAACAGAGAUCACAGAUGUCCCUGCAGAGGGACCAAACACUGAAGCAGAGGCGAAUGUGAAUGCAUAUGAAGAGUGUCCUUCUGGAGUUCCCUUACAUAUAUGGAAUAAAUUUCAAGAAUUGCAUAAAAAACAUUCUGAACAGAAAAUCUCAUCUUCAAGAUUCAGAAGAAAAAAAAGAAAACGCUCCAGAAAAGGUAAAUUGAAGAAUGAAGAAGAAUCUCAUAGUGAACAGUCCCCCAAGUGAAACCCAGUUGAAGGAACUUACUCAGUAUUUUGGAGUCAAUGACAGGUUUGAACCCCCUGUUAAAAAGAAAAAAAUUGAGAAGUCGGGCCUUGAAAAGAGCAUAGACCAGGCUGUGGAAGAGUGGAAUAUUGAGAAGGCCGAGGAGCUCAGCAACCAGCUAGCUACCCGAGAG